rnacentral:snRNA from 1 species
GGAUGUGAAGGCAAUCUGGCUGGGACAAAACUGUCACCCCAUUGAUCAUCAGUGUUGCUUUGGCUGAUUUUGCCUGGUAGGUGGGUGUUUUCUUUCUCCCUCACCACUCCAUGUGAGCCUUUCCCCAACCGGCACGUCGAGCAAAAGUAGACAACCAUUUCAAAUCAAAGAAAUAUACUGUUUUUCAGUCAAGAUAUU